UACGUAGGGGCGAGCGUUGUCCGGAAUCAUUGGGCGUAAAGAGCGUGUAGGCGGCUUGGCAAGUCUUGCGUGAAAUCCUGCGGCUCAACCGCAGGCGGUCGCAGGAAACUGCCUCGCUAGAGUCCGGAAGAGGAGAGCGGAAUUCCUGGUGGUAGCGGUGGAAUGCGCAGAUAUCAGGAAGAACACCCGUGGCGAAGGCGGCUCUCUGGGACGGUAC
rnacentral:rRNA from 1 species